GACACAAAUGGUGGUGUUGACCUUUGAUCAGACGCUUGCUGUCUGACCUGACUUUUCCUCUGGGGCCUGGGCCUUUUGACCUGGAUGGUUGUAGGUUCAAAUUCUUUCGAGGGAACACUGUUUACUCUGCCUCUGUGAAAGCUUCAGAGUGUCCUCUGUGAUUGUGGGCUGGGUUAUGGGAUGUUGAUAGAAGUGGUGUCUAAAUGAAAAUGAAACUGUGGGGACUCAGACUCGGAGGUUUAAAGGUCUCUUACUGCUGCCUACCAUGGCCUUGUCCAUGGCUAAGCAGAAGGAAUUAUCAGAGGAUGAUUCACGAUGGUUACGCCAAUAACAGGCUGCAUGACUUUGCUGGUAAUUAAUGAAAGUGCAUUACAGGAGGACAUUCAAUCAAGAGCGAAAUAAUGGAGUGGUAGUAAUUUGAAGUGUCACAUUUGGCCACAUGGAUUGACCAUACACUCUUAAGACCAUGCCCAUUUUAGCACUGUUAAUGUAGAAGUUGCCUUCCACUUUGUUUGAUAUUUCAUCAUAACAAAUCUUCUGUUUAAUUUAGGGUGGAAUAAUCCACAUAAAAACAGGAAUGUAAACUAACCAACCGUUCAAUCAUGACUGAUGGAAAGCUAGGACAAUUUAAUUAAUUUUGGGGAAACUACUUUAGCAUCUGUAGAAAUUAUUUUGGAAUUGUGUCAACUCUGAGCUUAAGAGCUAGCACUUAGGAGGCAGGCUCUUCACAGCGGAAGUGAAAGCUCUGAAAGACAAAUCCCUCAAAAGGUACAGUAUAAAGUGCUUCUUACUGCAUAAUGCAAAACUCCAACCUCUGCUUGAGAAAAUCACCCAUCUGUUUAAACUAUUUGCAAUAACUGCCUCUAGACUCCCGAACAUGAUAUUAUUCACAACCCUGAUGGACCACCAGAAAGAGAUAAUAGUUAGUUACAGGUCUUUUGGCGAUGACCCGGGCGAUGAUAUGGGAAAAAAUAAUCACACACAUGAUGAAAGCUAUGAGCUACACUGUAGAGCAUAUACCCCCAUCUAUUAUCCAUGAGCUGAUGUUCAUCUUGCUAAACUAGGCUGAGCCAGUUCUAUCCCCCUCUGCAGCAUGCCAGAACGGCUCCUCCUGUUAACUGCCUGCACAUCCCUCUCUCCUUCCCUCUACACUGCAGACCUAUACUCGCUCUCUCUCACACAUCCCCUUUCUCCCCUCAUUUAUACAUCUGCCUUCCCUACUCAGUUUCACACUCCUCUGUAUGUCACUAUUCCUCUCCCUCUCCUCUGCCUCUCCUGUGCCUCUGCCUCUCCUCUGCCUUUCCCUCUCCUCUUCCUCUCUCUGCCUCUCCUCUCGCUCUGCCUCUCCCUUUCCCUCUCCUCUUCCUCUCUCUGCCUCUCCUCUGCCUCUCCCUCUGCCUCUCCCUCUCCUCUUCCUCUCUCUGCCUAUCCUCCGCACCCCUCGACUAGUGUCCCAUGAUGAGUUAGGUAACAGUGCUGAAAUCAGAGCCAGGAGGAACAACAAGCCCAGAGGUUGAAUUAUUAACUGGUGCAGGAAGCUGGACUGCUAUUAAGCAGAUCAGGAGGUGACUGUAAGAGCUCAACCCUGUGGUGCACUCAAGCGGCACGCUGUGAAUGGAACUAUGAGGGUAAUCAUUUCCCUGGUCAAACUGGUUUGUCUUCCAUGCUAGAGUUGUCUAACAACAGACAGUUGAACAGAUCCCCUGCCGUCAGCAUGGCAGGUCUCUGUUCAGGUCCUGCCUCUCUAAGUUAACCUGUCACAAUGAGUGACAUGUGAUCAUCCUAAUGGAUAGCAGCAGAGCUUCUAACAUACUAUAUUAUGAUGCAGUAACUACUGGACAGUGUGACUGGGCUGCUGAGCAAGAACUUCCCUGAGGAGGGAUGGAGAGAGAGAGAGAGAGAUGAAAGAGCUAGAGAAAUGAGAGGCACCCUGUGCCCAUGGAUUACUGUGGCCUCUAUAAAUACUCAAGUCACGCCUAACCAGAGACUGCUGGCGGGGCGCAAAUUUACAUACAUUUGGAUGAGGACACACUGUUUAUAAAAAAGGCAUUGUCUAUUUAGCCCUUUCUCCCCUGUGUUCGGCACACUUGCGCGUCAGUAUUCAUUCAUCGAAGAUUAGAUUCAUUGAGGAACGCCACAGGGUGGGAAACGUGUAGAGCCAGUUCCUUAGCCGGCCAACUCACCCACUCCCAGCUGCUCUAGCCGGGCCUUGAACUCUGAUCGCUCCUCCAGAACGCGGAGCAGGUUGGUGGGUUCCAUGCGCUCCAGCUCCACCCUCCAGUAAACAAAGAUCUUGUGGUUGAAGCUCACAUAGACCAGGCAUGGGCUGUUCUUUCCAUCCUUGCAGGUGUACUGGCCUGA